UACGAAGGGGGCUAGCGUUGCUCGGAAUCACUGGGCGUAAAGCGCACGUAGGCGGCUUCUAAGUCAGGGGUGAAAUCCUGGAGCUCAACUCCAGAACUGCCUUUGAUACUGGAGAGCUUGAGUCCGGAAGAGGUGAGUGGAACUCCGAGUGUAGAGGUGAAAUUCGUAGAUAUUCGGAAGAACACCAGUGGCGAAGGCGGCUCACUGGUCCGGUACUGACGCUGAGGUGCGAAAGCGUGGGGAGCAAACAGG
rnacentral:rRNA from 1 species